rnacentral:rRNA from 1 species
UACGUAGGUCCCGAGCGUUGUCCGGAUUUAUUGGGCGUAAAGCGAGCGCAGGUGGUUUAUUAAGUCUGGCGUAAAAGGCAGUGGCUCAACCAUUGUAUGCAUUGGAAACUGGUAGACUUGAGUGCAGGAGAGGAGAGUGGAAUUCCAUGUGUAGCGGUGAAAGGCGUAGAUAUAUGGAGGAACACCGGUGGCGAAAGCGGCUCUCUGGCCUGUAACUGACACUGAGGCUCGAAAGCGUGGGGAGCAAACAGG